rnacentral:tRNA from 1 species
GGCCUGCUAGCUUAGUCGGUUAGAGCGUGGUGCUAGUAACGCAAAGGUCGUGGGUUCGAUCCCUGCGCAGGCCA